GGCUCAGGACGAACGCUGGCGGCGUGCCUAAUACAUGCAAGUCGAGCGGACAGAUGGGAGCUUGCUCCCUGAUGUUAGCGGCGGACGGGUGAGUAACACGUGGGUAACCUGCCUGUAAGACUGGGAUAACUCCGGGAAACCGGGGCUAAUACCGGAUGGUUGUUUGAACCGCAUGGUUCAAACAUAAAAGGUGGCUUCGGCUACCACUUACAGAUGGACCCGCGGCGCAUUAGCUAGUUGGUGAGGUAACGGCUCACCAAGGCAACGAUGCGUAGCCGACCUGAGAGGGUGAUCGGCCACACUGGGACUGAGACACGGCCCAGACUCCUACGGGAGGCAGCAGUAGGGAAUCUUCCGCAAUGGACGAAAGUCUGACGGAGCAACGCCGCGUGAGUGAUGAAGGUUUUCGGAUCGUAAAGCUCUGUUGUUAGGGAAGAACAAGUACCGUUCGAAUAGGGCGGUACCUGACGUA
rnacentral:rRNA from 2 species